rnacentral:lncRNA from 1 species
CGAAGAAACUCUGGUCACAAGGGUUAAGUUGGCUCUGUCUUAGCCACACUAGCCACACCCUCAGCAUGGCCCUGUGAGAGUGCAUGAAACUAUAUAUGUGUGACUCAGAAUUUAGGAAACUGUCAGAUUCCGAAUGAAACUUUUAUGGACAUUUCUUUCUGGGAAAAUAAAGCUGCCUGAUGGAGCUGACAAGCCACUGGUGGCUUUGGAGAGAAAGCACGCUCAUAAUAGGGAGGAGGAGAAGAAUCUUCCAAUCACCGGCCGCAAUUAGGGCUCCUCCACCACUCACCCCGCUUCCCCAUGAAUGAACAUUGACGUCAAUCGGGCGGAGAAGACCCCCCCAUGUGAUCUACUGGCUCCUCUUUAUAAAGAGGCGGGGCGGGCGCUGUCCAGCGUGCUGAAGCUUGGGGAAGCAAGCUAGCGGGAGAGACGGAGAAUCGACCACGCGAAGAGAGACCAGCUGGAAACUGACCGAGGCGACAGUCGAACGCAGCUCAGGGACCGAAACUCGGAGCAUCUCCUACCUCAAAAUCCCGACCCUUCCCAUUCCUCGAAUCCUAGCUGAGUGGAAAUCAUUCUUUCCCCAGUU